rnacentral:tRNA from 1 species
UGUGGCUCAGUGGUAGAGCACUCACCUAGCAUGUGCAAGGCCCUGGGUUCGAUUCUCAGCA